UGAGGAACUUUUCUUUCCUAUGAGGUAUGCAUGUGACUCCCCAUGAGGGGAGGAGUUUGGAGAAGCUCCAUACUCUCAGACCCUGAAGAGACAAAUUCUGUUCUCAGUUAAGGAGGAGAAGAACUUGGCCUGGGUCAAAACGUGAAGGGAAGUGGAAGCAAGGAAGCAUGUCUGGGAAACCCAAACUUACCUACUUCAAUGGAAGAGGACGUAUGGAAUCAACACGGUGGCUGUUGGCAGCAGCUGGGGUGGAGUUUGAAGAAGAAUUUUUGGAAACAAAAGAACAGUAUCAAAAGUUAAUAAAAGAUGGAGCCCUGCUGUUUGACCAAGUACCAUUGGUGGAAAUUGAUGGGAUGAAGAUGGUGCAGACCAGAGCCAUUCUCAGCUACAUAGCUGCCAAGUACAACCUCUAUGGGAAGGAUCUGAAAGAGAGAGCAUUAAUUGACAUGUAUGUGGAAGGAACAGGUGAUCUCAUGGGAAUGAUCAUUACCUUUGCUUUCACUCCACCUAAGGAGAGGAAUCUUGCCUUAAUCAUUGAGAGGGCCACAACCAGAUACUUCCCAGUCUAUGAAAAGGUUCUGAAACAACAUGGGCAAGAGUUUCUUGUUGGCAACCGAUUCAGCUGGGCAGAUGUACAGCUGCUUGAAGCCAUUUUAAUGGUAGAGGAGAAAGAGCCCACUGUGCUUUCCAAGUUCCCUGUGUUACAGGCUUUUAAAGCAAGAAUAAGCAACAUACCUACAAUUAAGAAAUUCCUACAGCCUGGCAGCCAGAGGAAGCCCCCACCUGAUGACCAAUAUGUGGCAACAGUGAUGGAAGUUUUCAAAAAAGAUUAAAUGCCAGGUUCCAUUCAGAGAGGUCAUCAAAAUCUAAAAAAGAACAGGCCAGUUUAGAUGAUCAGCAUUACCAUAAUUAAAAGCAAUAACAUUCCAGUGACAGAAAAUAGUAUCUGAUUACUCUUGCUGUUUGAGUGGUUUGUUUUAAUGAGUGUCAAGUCCUUGAUAAAAUAUGAAAACAAAAGAUUAUUUGGGAUAGUGU